rnacentral:snRNA from 1 species
AGCCAUACAUUGAGCACAAAGCAAACUAUUCUAUCGCCUUUUACUAAAGAAUACCGUAUGUUCGUUGUUUUAAGUGGCAUUCCUCUAUUUUUGUAAGGUGACCUUUUAAUCAGUC